AAAAGUGGGGAGGGUCAGUUGUGUGGGCUCAGGCAGAUGGACCUAUGGGUAGCAACACCUUUAGUAUAAAUAGCCAAUAUUCCCCAGUGUUACAGGAGGUCUCCCUUAUUGAAAGCCCACUUCUGGAAACUUGCAUUGAGAUCAUUCUCUUCCUGGUUGUCAGUAUGAGGCAGGAUUUACAAGGUCUCCAGAGCAAAGAAGUCACAAGAGGUCUCUAUCCCCAGUGAACACUUUUCAGGUACAAUGUGGUCUCCUGAAGUCUCUUUUAUCAUGUGUUUGUGUUUUCUUGACUCCUGUAAGAAGUGACCACAGGCCAAGUGGCUUAAAAGAACAGAAAAUUGAUAUCUCACAGGUCUGGAGGCCAGGAGAAUAAAACCAGAAGGUGAACAAGGUUAUGCUUCAUCUGCAAGCUGUACAAGAGUAUCCUUCAUGUGUCUUAUAGUUGUGGGUAGCUCAGUUGUUUCUUGGCCUGUGGUUAUAUCAAUCUAGUUGAGUAAUAAGGUACUUGUUACUGGGCUCAUGGCCCACCUAUAUAACUUGCAGUGAUCUCAAUUUGAGAGCCUUGAUUUUUGUGAGACAGGUUCUUACUAUGUAGAGCAAGCUGGCCUUGAAUUCGCAGAGAUUGUGCCUUCUAAGUGCUGGGAUUAAAGACAUGCACCACUAUGCCUGGCUUGAAAUCCUUAGUUUAACUACAUCUGUAAAGACCAUUUUUUCCAAGUAAAAAAAAA